GGGGGGGGGGGGGGGGGGGGGGGGGGGGGGGGGGGGGGGGGGGGGGGGGGGGCGUGCGCGGGGGGUCGGCGGCGGACGGGUGAGGGAUGCCGAGGAAUCUGCCUGGUAGUGGGGGAUAACGUCCGGAAACGGGCGCUAAUACCGCAUACGUCCUGAGGGAGAAAGUGGGGGAGCUUCGGACCUCACGCUAUCAGAUGAGCCUAGGUCGGAUUAGCUAGUUGGUGGGGUAAAGGCCUACCAAGGCGACGAUCCGUAACUGGUCUGAGAGGAUGAUCAGUCACACUGGAACUGAGACACGGUCCAGACUCCUACGGGAGGCAGCAGUGGGGAAUAUUGGACAAUGGGCGAAAGCCUGAUCCAGCCAUGCCGCGUGUGUGAAGAAGGUCUUCGGAUUGUAAAGCACUUUAAGUUGGGAGGAAGGGCAGUAAGUUAAUACCUUGCUGUUUUGACGUUACCAACAGAAUAAGCACCGGCUAACUUCGUG
rnacentral:rRNA from 1 species